ACGCUCGACACCUACGGGAGGCGGCAGUGGGGAAUAUUGCACAAUGGGGGAAACCCGUGAUGCAGCGACGCCGCGUGAAGGAUGAAGUAUUUCGGUAUGUAAACUUCUAUCAGCAGGGAAGAAAGUGACGGUACCUGACUAAGAAGCCCCGGCUAACUACGUGCCAGCAGCCACGGUAAUCUGAGCGGGCUGGCAAGGC
rnacentral:rRNA from 1 species